AAACAUCGCCUCCUGCAGUAUAUAGGAGGUCCAGCCUGCCCAGUGACCAAGUUAAACGGCCGCGGUACCCUAACCGUGCGAAGGUAGCGCAAUCACUUGUUCUUUAAAUGAGGACUAGUAUGAAUGGCAUCACGAGGGUUACACUGUCUCCCACCUCUAAUCAGUGAAACUGAUCUCCCCGUGAAGAAGCGGGGAUAAAACUAUAAGACGAGAAGACCCCAUGGAGCUUCAAACCCGGCAUCAACCAUUAACAUUUAUACCACAUUAAAUAAAUGGACCUGACUGCUGGUUUUAGGUUGGGGUGACCGCGGAGCAUAACAAAACCUCCAUGAUGAACGACCUCCUCUCUAAUCCGAGAGCCACCACUCAAAGAAUCAAAAAAUUGACAUUUAUUGACCCAAACUAUUUUGAUCAACGAACCAAGUUACCCUGGGGAUAACAGCGCAAUCCAUUUCAAGAGCCCCUAUCGACAAAUGGGUUUACGACCUCGAUGUUGGAUCAGGGUAUCCUAGUGGUGCAGCCGCUACUAAAGGUUCGUUUGUUCAACGAUUAAAACCCUACGUGAUCUGA
rnacentral:rRNA from 1 species